CAGAAACUCAGAGCAACCCCUUUCAUCCAAUGCCAGAUAAUUUAGCUGUAAGGAGACUUCAGCAUUCUUCAAAAGCUAUCUGCUCAGAGCUUCCACAGCAGUCGUCCCAUAAGUGUGAUCAAUCUUCCACCCAAAGUUGUGGUGACAGUGUAUUCUCUGAUGAAAGGUAAUUGUGAAAAUGAAACUUGUUAACAUGUGGAAUAGCAAAUUACAUACUCAAGGGGUGUGCACAAGUACA